GACGAACGCUGGCGGCGUGCUUAACACAUGCAAGUCGAGCGGAAAGGCCCUUCGGGGUACUCGAGCGGCGAACGGGUGAGUAACACGUGAGUAACCUGCCCUAGACUUUGGGAUAACCCUCGGAAACGGGGGCUAAUACCGGAUACUCCUUCUAAAUCGCAUGCUUUGGUUGGGAAAGUUUUUCGGUCUGGGAUGGACUCGCGGCCUAUCAGCUUGUUGGUGGGGUAAUGGCCUACCAAGGCGAGGACGGGUAGCCGGCCUGAGAGGGCGACCGGCCACACUGGGACUGAGACACGGCCCAGACUCCUACGGGAGGCAGCAGUGGGGAAUAUUGCACAAUGGGCGGAAGCCUGAUGCAGCGACGCCGCGUGAGGGAUGACGGCCUUCGGGUUGUAAACCUCUUUCAGCAGGGACGAAGCGUAAGUGACGGUACCUGCAGAAGAAGCGCCGGCCAACUACGUG
rnacentral:rRNA from 1 species